GAGAGGAGAGAGGUGCUGCAGAAGUGCUGAUUUGUUUGUUUUUUUGCUGUGGUACAGUGCACCCUGGUGAACUAAAUGUCCAGCAAGCCUUCUUCAUUUACAGACAGCUUUGGACAGAGGAGAGGUCGUUUUGGCACUGUUUUCUGCACAUUUAGAGGUAUAUGGUAUGUUCCGCCUGACGGGCCUCAUGCCUUCACUGUGUCUGUCUGCAGCAGGUGGUCUUAUCGUGACAGCCGUUCAGUGGUCUGGCUGUGUUCCGCCAGGCAUCGCGCUUACCCUGGAGCAGAUCAACGGGCAGACCUAGGCUGCAGACGGUGGGAGCUCCGGCACUGCCGAAAAGAGUGUCCUCGUGUGCAAUAUCAAUCAAAUCUGUGGAAGAUGCUUGGAAUCUCAUUUAAAAUCACAGAAUACAAAUCAAAGAUUCAGCUGCCAAGGAGACAGGAAAUGCUCCAAAUAGUCACAAUCUCCUCUGAUUACAGCUAAUUCAUUUUGGGAAAAACUGUAUAAAAUUCCACUGUUCCCAGAUCUUGCCUAUGAAAUUUGUGUAUAUACUUUGGAAUCUUGUUUUUCAUCAUGUUUACUAGGCAGCAGGUGUAAUGUUUACUGUAUAUCUUUUUUUUUAUGUCAUAUAGAAGAGUGGAUGGACUUUGUACAUCGCAAUAUCAAUUAAAGUUACAGCUUCAAAAAUCAAUAAUUCAUAAAACCAGAAUAUAGAUAAAAUACAGGUUCUGACCAGAGCUAAGGAACUACUUUUAACAGGUUUGUGUGUUUUUCUGAACAUAGCAACCAUAGCAACCAAUCCAGUUUUUGGUUUAAUUUUUUACAGCAGAUUAUCAGCAGUUAUAUUUGAUUGUUAUCUUGAUUACUGCAUUUUUAUGUUCUUUGUAAAUGGAAUUCUGGAUCAAAUGUUUAUGUUUAUACAUUUAUUUUGCAGAGCUACUGAUCACCUCUUUCUCAAUGCUUAUCCUACCUUAUGCAUUUUCAUACCCUCCAACAUGACCCAUUCCAUAAUGUACAAAAUUCUGUUGCUGGACUUCCUUGCCAGUGGCAGUUGCAGUACAAGAUUCAAGUAGGGAAGCCACACCAACUGCCACCCCAAACACUGCCAAACAUCACCGUCUGGGACUCACUGGCAGUUUGUGUGGCUCCCCUAUUUGAAUUCUGUACUGCGCUGCAGCCCAACCUCUGCAACUGCCACUGGCAAGGAAGUCCAGGAGCAGAGCAUGUUGUACCUAGUGGAAUGGGUCAUGUUGGAGGAUAAACAUUAUACAUUUUUAUUAUCAUUUAUCUUCCAAGUACUUUCAUAUGUUAAUAUUUAUUUCUUAGUAUUUAUUUAUAUAGCAUUAUAAUAUU